GGAGAAGUUGAAUUUUUCUUCUCUCGUUUUGGUGUUCUCACUUUCUCUGAAUUUGGUGCUCGAUUCUUCAGCAAUGUCCGGCCAAUCUACCGACUCCAACUCCGCUUCUCCGGCGGUGCAUAUCGUUUACAUGGAGAGGCCUCGCGAUGAGGAACCUGAGGCCUAUCACAUCCGAACCCUAACUUCUGUUCUCGGCAGUGAAGAAGCUGCGAGGGAGGCUCUUUUGUAUAGCUACAAGAAUGCUGCCAGUGGCUUCUCUGCUAGGCUUACUCCCGAUCAGGUCGCCGAGAUUUCCAAACAAGAAGGAGUUUUACAAGUUGUCCCAAGUCGUACUCUUCGGCUGCAUUCAGGGCCUUCCCAUCUUCACUAGAAGAACAUCAAACUCUUUAUGGCGGUUUGAAAGUGUGUACCUAAAUAAAAGUGUUCAAGGAUAUUUGUACGGAUGGCUCAAACUAUUGGGUUCGGUCGAAUGUUUACAUACCGAACUUUUCAAAUUAAGGUUGUAUAACCUUUUGCUGGUGUCACUUUGCAAGUGUUUUUACGGUAGUGCGCUGUACAGAUAUGGUGAAUUUUUAGUAUUGUUCUACGUUCAUGGGUCUCGCUCUAGGUGAAUGCAUAUGUAUAAACAAAAGCGAGUGAGACCAAGAGUUCAAUCAAUUAUUGUUCUUUGUAUCUUGUUUGAUUAUUAUUAUUAUUGAGUUAAAUUAUGUGAGUUGUAUAAAAUGGACCAACUUGAG
rnacentral:misc_RNA from 1 species